rnacentral:lncRNA from 1 species
CCAUCCAUAACCGAAUAGGCAAAGGUUCUUUCUUCAUCUCCUGCAACGAGUAAUCCUAUUGCAGCCUCUGGUGUAAGGGUUAACCGGAGCUCUAGAUUUGAAGCAAUUAUUAGUAUAAUAAGAUCUACCUGACCUUGGAGGGCAAGGAAUUCUAUUAGCCGCAAGAGCUCCGUAAGAGAUAUAAUAAUGAACUCUUCUCCAGAACAAAGAUCUACGGUCGCCUAUCUCUUCAUUUUCUUCGUCACUAUCUAAAUCUAUCAAUCCAUUGUCGAACUCACCUUUCCCUUCCAAAUCACUGUACAUAGACAUCGCCAUUGGCCAUUCGAGACUGUCCGCCAUUAUCUUCAACCCUGUUUCUUCCACUUGAGCUUCGAUUCCUAAGCUAAGAGAGAGGGAAACAGCGAAAAGGAAAGUUAAGUGUUUAGAAAUCGCCAUUGGAGGGAGAGAUUUGAAACUAAACUAAGCUUGAGAGAGACUUAAGUAUGUCUGUCAAUGGCUAGUUGGGUGCUUUCUUUUUGAGUGAUGGAGAGGGAAAAGGAAGAGUAGGGACAAGAGGAAGAGGUCACAUGGAGCUGCAGUUGAAGAUAGAGAGAGAUUGAUUGGGUUACAGCUGUGCUUCAUCAAUGCAUCAAUUAACGCGUCGUCCAAUUCUGGUACAGUUUUGUUCGCGCAAGGGAGAGAGUAGAAAGAAAUGAUUCUGUGUGUUAGGUUCCACAAGAUAGAUUUGUGGUAUGAUGGGUUUCUUGAAAUGUGGCAGUAUCUAAAUGGGUGUUAUGGGAAGUGACAAGUGGAAAUACUGUGUUAAACGGUGUCGAAUUCGUCUCUUUCUCUAUUUUGCGCAAAGGGUGGCGAAUAAGACAGCGGUACAUUCGGCAGGUUGUCCUAAACGACGCGGCUGGUCGGACAUGUUCGGUCCCACAUUAAAGUCAUAUAUGUAUAAUAUUAAUAUUACCAAUUAUUAAUCAUCUACUUCUCCAAAAAGAAAAAAAAAAUUAUGAAUCCCCUAGAUUGAUAAUUGAUCCCAACCUUAAACUUAACAAUAAAAAAAUCCUUUCAAUCAAAUUUUAAAAAACGGAAAGGUUGUUUUUCUUUUUCUAAUAUAAUAUCCUCAGAAGUGGAAUUAUUAGUGAGAUUUUGAACUCAAUUUUUAAAAAGAAAAUAUAAAUUAAUUAUGAUGCGGUUAAAACAGUAUUAUGGAAUCAGAUUGACCAGUGAGACCAGUUAAAAUAGAAAAUGACACUUUUAAUUUAAUUAUAAAGUUAGCCCAAUUUGUAGGGAACCAAAUGUUAGAAUAAUUGAAUUUUUUUAUAAAAAUAUAUUGUUUUCAUUUAACAAUUUUUUUAGAAAUUAUUGAGUAAAAUUUUUUUAUUUAUAUAUAUUAUUUUGUUUUAUAGGAUGCAUAUUUAAUGAGAAUAAUAUAUCAUAUAUAUUAACUAUUACAAAAAUAAUAUAUAUAUAAAUGUUAAAAAAAAAAAAGAUUGAAUCGGUCUGAUUUUAACUCAAUCAUAGCAUCGAUUCGGUUGUUGAUCCGGUUCACUUUGAUUUCGAGAAAUAUAUGGUCAGAUUUUUUUUGAGUUGCUGGCUAUUAUAAUAAAAAAUAAAUCCAAUUUUAUCCCUAUCCUAUUUUUCAAAAUUCGUUGGGUACAACAUUAUCAUGUAUGUAUCUGAAUAGUCGGUGCUAAAUGUUGGGAUAGAUUGACACAUUUAAUGAUCUUCCAAGGAGGCCAUCUAGCGUUCUCUAAUACAAGGCCAACUCCCUCACAAUUGAUUUUGCUCCGAGUAUAAUCUUGUAACUACCAGAAUACAUAUAUUCACCCCUCCAAUCUCACAUUUUAUAAUUUUAAUUUUGUAACAAUUUAAACUUUAUAAUAUGGUUUAUCAUGCAUCUGAAUUUACAAAUUUUAAUAACACUGCAUAUAUUUACACAUUAAAGAUAAUAAUUUUUAAAGUUUUUUAAUUUUUAUAUGUAAAAUGCUGAUUUGAUAUGUAAUUAGUAUAAUUUUUGUAUAAAUAUUUAAGUAAUCUAAUUUCGUAAAUCAAAGUGUUUAAUUUAUGUAAUUUUAUAAUUUAAAGUAAAAAAAAAAGCCGAAAGUGACAUAAAUUUAAACUAAUAAGGUUUAGGGAUGGAUUUAUGUAUUAAUUAUUUAGAUUUCUUCUUUCUAAAUUUUCUUUCUAUAUUGUGUGCAGUAAGAGAGAGAAUAUAUUUGCUAAGUUGAUGUAAAAUCUAGAUCAUCUUUCUUUGCAUUUAUCUAUGAAGUUCAGAAUCUUAUAAUUCAUGUUUAAUUUCUUAAUAAUAAAAAUUAACAUUUGAAAUCAAGUUAAAUUCUGAGAUUGAAGAGAAUUAUUGCAACCAAAAAAAAAAAAAAAACUACUAAUAAAGGUAAAUGGGCUCGCAAGCGCAUAUUAUCUUGGAUUUAAAUUCAUAGGCUUAAAAACCCAAAAGACCAUUCAUUUUGUUCAUCAAAAGCCAAGCCCACCUAUAGACUUUUCAAGCCCAAAAGAAAGGGCUAGAUUGGGCACAAAUUGAAAGUCAAUAAUCAAAAUGGAGAACACGAGUAGCUUGAUGAAGGAGAUAGGGUGCUUGGAAUUUGGAUCUGUUUCUAUGGGCUGCCCUAGAAAUAGAACACCUACCUAAACUAUAUGCCAAUAGAUUGAAUUUAAGACUUUCAAUCGCUCCAUACUGUAAAAAAGAAAUGAACCCAACUUCUAACUAGUCGCUUAUCACUGCUUAUCACUUAUUAUGAUUCAUAAACUCGGUCUAGACAAGAUAAUCAUUUAAAUUUUUUAAAUAUAUAUAUAUAUUACCCACACAUAUUAAUUUUUCUGACCAAGCUCACCCCCAAGGCUCUUGGAUUCUCUUAAUGAGGCUAUAAGAUUGGACAAAAGCUAUGACAAAUAAUAUAUAUAUAUAUAUAAUGCAGUACUUAUAUAAUUAAGAAAUUAAAGAAACCGUGACAACCAAUGAGAUAACUCAAUCAUUACUCAGUAUGACAAUCUCAGCUGUUAGUGGUCCGUUAUUCAUUGUUUUUACUGUCAUACAGAUUCCUUUCUUCUCUCCAUAUAUAUUUGCAUGCUGAAAAUGGCAGAGAGAACCCACAGGAAAAUGCCAUUUUAGUCCAGUUCUAAAUGGAUUAAUUAAAGAACAAACUUUAAAAAAAAAAGAAAAGAAAAGAAAAAAACUUAUCGUUCCAAUUGGACUGAACAGAGCUGAAUGCGUGUAAGUAUUAAUUUCAUGACCUAUAUAGUUUUGACGAAAGUGCACCGACCCUUAAUUCUUAGCUAGCUUUUACAUUUUUUGCAGGGGUUGACACUGCAAUUUUGUGCAUUUAUGAAACCAAACUGUCACUCUCUCUUUAUAUAUAUAGUACAGUUGAAUUUUAGAGCCCGCGUGUGAGGACCUAUUAUUGCACCAAGCUCAAGCUGUUCAUGAGCUGAGUAUGAACUUUGGAAAUAUUAAAUUUUCCAAAAAUCUGGCUCAUUGGGUUUGUAACUCUUUUUUUAUAAAUUGAAAUUUAACCGUUAUGUAAAUGAGACUAAUUUAUGUCUGACAUGGAUUGUAUUCAGCUAAACUCAGUUUUUUUUUAAAGAACGACUCCAAGUCUCAAAUCUCUUAUUUUACAAGUAUAGUUGACUUAAAAUAUAGUUUACAUCAACUGUUCCAACUUUUUUCAGAGUUUUGUGGGAAGCAGUGGCAGUAAAAAAAAAAAAAUGUUAAUGGUGAUUAUGAGAAAUAAAAGGUAGACAACGUGAAAAGAAGCAGCUGCAAUGUGGGUAUUGGUUUGUCCAUUUUGGGGUAACUUAUGGGAGAGAAAGGAGGGGCGAAGAUUAUCAUGUUGAAGGAAAAGACAGAGAAAAGGGACCAUUUUCUGAGGAAAAUGGCAAUUAUCUCGUCAGUGUUAGAAUAAAAAAUAAUAUCAUAAACAGUAGUGUUUUGUGUAAUUCUUUUAUCUUAUUUUAUUUGCUUAUAGAAACAGAAUGAAUUGUAGGUUACUUUGAGUAUACUCAGAAUUGUAAGGAUAAAUCUCUAGUGAGUUCUAUUUAAUGUCCAAUUGAAGAGAGAGAGGUCCUCUACCACGUGCAUAUCUUAAAUCUUUAUGCUGUAGAGAUAAGAUAAUAAUAAUUCAAGAGAAAAGGAAAGAACUAUAUUGAACAACUCACACUCUCGCACUCAUAAACAGCCAUUCUUUACAUUUUGGAUUCUUUCUGUAUUUAGUUUUGAUGCCUUCAGUAUAGAACAGAACAUGUUCCCUUAUUUGAAUCAUCUUCUUCUAUUAGACUACGUGUUUUUCUAUAUAUAUAUAUAUAUAUAUAUAUAUAUAACAUUUUUCAUUUACUUUAUUUAACAAGAGAUUUAAAAUCUUACCGCAUUUUAUUUCUUUUUCACUAUUAAAUUAAACGAGUCGAGUUGAAUUGUAACGAACUCGAACAAAGUACUUAGACUCAAAUUUAAAUUCAAAUUUGAGCUCCACCCAUUUACUAAAUUUUAUUAAAUUUAUCAAAGGAAUAAAAAAAUAAUUUUAAAGGAAAUAUGAUGUCAUAACUAAGUUGCAAGAUUGGACUUACUUCCACAAGGAUAGAGAGCCGAAAGGCACCUUACACAAAUAAAGUCAAAUCACCAGCUAGCACCUAAAGAAAUUUACCAGUACAAAAGAAAUGAUCAGCUCAUGUACUUGCUCUACGAGUCGGACAGAGUCACAAUCAACCCUAAUCUGCUUUGAAAAGUGUGCCAAAGGGAGCAGCCCGAGAGGUGCGUCAGUUAAUGUACUAAUGAUCAUAACCCACCACCGGAAAGCCGGAAUGCUCCGCCGGCGGUGAUCUGUAAAUCAUAGAAUUGGCUGGUUAAUUUGCUUUGAGAAUAAUAAAUUAUGGGUCAAGGUGGGCGUUGGUGAUCUUCUGACAAAUGGCAUGUGAGUGGGGUUUCAAUAGUUCUUUUGUUAGUGAAAAAAAAUAUUUUAAAUUAGAAAUGGGAAAGAAAAAUCAAUCUAAGUAAGCAAAGCAAUAGCACUUACACAACUCAAAGAUCAAAAGCACUUAUUAUUAAAGGGGAUGCCAUAAAAGAAAGUCUCUCAAAGGGGUUCAUGCACCAGUACUCUUUAAUCUGAGCCUUCUACUUUGUGGGCCUAGUUUCAUGAAAGGUCUAUUUACCAUUGAUCUUUUCUACUUAUAGUUUAGAUUUUUCUAUUCAUUUAUCACUGGUAAAGAUCCAACGGCUGUUAAUCAAUAUCUUUAGAUUUAGGCCCACAUAAUGGGCGGUCACUAUCAAAAAUCAUAAAUUCAUCAUAAAUGAUCUCUGAGUCUUCUCUUUCUCUCUCUGUCAACUUUGCAUGAAUAAAAUAUUACAAACAAGUUGCUAUAUAAAGACUCACUUCUGUAACCCUACUGAAUUGGUGAUGGGUUUCUGAGAUAAUCCUGAACUUUCCAUCUCUAUAUUACACUUUUCUUCUACUUCUCCAUUUUUUUUUCUUUUAUCUCUCUGCUGCAUAAACAUCAAAAUCUUAAAAAAAUUAAAAAAGAAACCUAGUUUCUCUCUCUCUUAAGCUUCUCUCUUCUUCUUUCAGUUUCUCCAUACCUCUGUUACUCAGUUCAUCAAUCUCUCUCUCUCUUUCAGCCCAUUCUUUUCUCCAUACAGAGACUUUCUUUUCUUUCCUAAAUUCUUGGGUUCUUUCUUUCGUUCUUUCUUUUAUAAGCAUGGAUGUUGACAUGAUGAAAUCAUCAUCAUCAUCAUCAUCAGGAGAGGAACACAUGGACAUGAUGACAAUGAUGAUGCAAAUGGAAAAGCUUCCUGAUUUUUGUGACCCUAAUAUGCAACAAGAAAUCCAUUUUGGCUCCAAUGGAAAUAAUACUAUUUAUAAUGUUUCUGCUUCUUCUUCACUUCUUAACCCUAACCCAUCUCCUUCUUUACCAUUUUUGGCCACUACAACUCCAAUUCAAGAACCCAUUACAGGAUCUCUUCAGCCUAAUAUGGUAACAGCAACAAAAUUCAAAUAUCCACCUCCAUUUUCAAAUGCAAACUCGUUUUUAUCAUCAAUGGAAAAGAAAAACUCAACAGCAGCCAUUAGAGAAAUGAUUUUUCGCAUUGCUGCUAUGCAACCGAUUCAUAUAGACCCAGAAUCGAUAAAGCCUCCAAAAAGAAGGAACGUUAAAAUAUCUAAAGAUCCACAGAGUGUAGCAGCAAGGCAUAGGAGGGAAAGAAUAAGCGAAAGGAUAAGGAUUUUACAAAGAUUAGUUCCAGGAGGGACUAAAAUGGACACUGCUUCUAUGUUAGAUGAGGCUAUACAUUAUGUCAAGUUUUUGAAAAAGCAAGUGCAGUCUUUAGAACAAGCUGGGUCUAAUAGACCAAUGGCUGGCUUUCCGUUUUCAGGUUUAACAAUGCCUAAUAUGGGUUAUUCUUCUUUGGUUAAGAAUUGCCAGUCAAGUCCUCAUAUGGUGGGCUCAAUGCAGAUACUUAGAUAAAAGACAGGAUUGGGUUAAGGUUAAUUAUAUGAUUUUAAUGUGCAUUAGUUGUGGUUUGAGAGAUAUUGUAAAUUACUUAAGAUUAUUCAGCUGUUAUCUUGUUCCCUUUGUUGUGUAAUAUUAUUUCAAAUUGAUGAUUCUAAUUAUCAUUAUUAAUUAAUGUAAGCCUUGUUCCAAAAAUUCUAUUGUAUCUCUUCUCUCGUUAGAAUGUUGAAAAGAUCAAUGUCUAAUCUAUGACUUAAUUAAUUAAUUAUCAUAUCAAGUAAUUAAUGAAAUGGACUUAGAAAAAAGGAAUAUAGAUGCAUACGGCCUGUUUAAAUCUUCUUUCUGUCUGUCUGUCUUUCUUUUCCCCCUCUCUAUUUCUUCACUCUUGUUCGUUUUUAGAAACUUUCUUUUCUGUUUUUGAACUUCUAGAGAUUUUUCUUCUUUUCUUUUUUUCCUUUUCUAUAUAUACUCCAAAAGAAAAAUCUUAUAUAAGUGUCAAAGACUUAGAGAGUCAACAGUACUAAUAUAUAUAUGUAACCAUGCCAUGCUGUAAAGUUGGUUGGGAUAGUUUUAACACCUUAAACCUUGGAUCUUUUGUUACAUUAUGAAGCAGAUAUUUAAUUGUUUAGUUAUUAGGCAAAGGUCUAUGUAGUUUGUACUAAAUGUUAUGAACAAUAUGUACUUGAUUUUGAGCAAUUGAAGGAUCAAUUUAUUUUUUAUCGAAGAAUACAAAAUGAGGAAGCCUCUCAAUGGAGCGUUUGAAUGAGAAAAGCACGGACAGAAUCUGGUAAAAAUUCAGAACUAAGCUAUAAUUGCCUUCUGGGGUUCGACCAACAUUAAUUGAACCUUUACAGUAAGUGAAAUGGGGAUUGCCCAAAAGGUCGAUCGGUUACAUAUUUCCCAUACUUUGUACACAAAAAUAAGAGAUGAAUGUUGAGCUGUACAAAGAUAGUUUGGCACCCAACUUGCAGGAGAUGCUUCUCUUGAAGAGACUCCAUUCAAUAUCUUUUGUAAUUCAGUGUUCAUUGUAUACUGUUGUUCUACCAAAAUUCCUUUAGAUUCAACUUUAUCAUUGGAAUGGCUCACCCGAUCAAUUAUUUUUGGCACCCAUUCUAACCAUUCUGCUGUUUCAGACUAUUCCUUCUGACGAUCGAUUCUCAACUUCUUGCAAAAAGAAAAGACACAACUUGGUAAAGAUUCAACAGCCUAUUAUUCUGCUGGAGAAUAUGAUUAGAUUUCAUCAGAUUAGGAAAGAACCAAGCCAUCCUUAUCUAUACAUGGCUUUAUCAGUAUUUUAAAUUGCAACAUUCAAUUUUCAACCAUUAACUUUUUAUUGUUCGAGGAGUUCAAAUGAGAAGGCAUUGGAAAAUAAGAGGGACAAAAGAAUACUAUUUAGAAGACUAAAUCAAAUUGUCAUCAACUAACACCAGAGAUAUGAGUGCACAGUUGUUUUUACGUACUCUUCAAUCACAAAUAAUUAGAAAAAAGAAAUAUGAGAAAUGACUUAAACGAUAAGAUAUGUUUGAGUUGAGUGGACGGUUUCUAUAAAAAAAAUUACUUAUAAGAUAACUACGAAUUCUAAAACUAAAAUAAUCGUAUACUGAAAAAGUAUGACCUAGAAUAUAUAAUUAAAAAGCCGUGUAAAUUUGGGAUUUUCAUAAUAAUGCCAAAAAAUAAUUAAAAAAAAAAAUAGGCAACAUUAAUCUGAGUGGCCAAACUAAGUCACGCUCCAAAUCUCGUUAUCUCUGGAAAACUAAGACAACUAGUAUUUUUGUGAAUAGUUAACAUAAAACAAUUGAUUUUAGGAAUUCCAAAAAAAGGAAGAUUUAUUUUGGAAAUUGCAUUUGUGGGAGAAUUAAAAAAUUUUAUACUUUAUUAGUUAAAUUAAAAUUAUGUAUUCCACUCAAAAAAAAAAAAAAAAUGGAAGCAUACCUCCUAAUUUAUUUUUCUAAAUAUAAAAAAUACAUUUUNNNNNNNNNNNNNNNNNNNNNNNNNNNNNNNNNNNNNNNNNNNNNNNNNNNNNNNNNNNNNNNNNNNNNNNNNNNNNNNNNNNNNNNNNNNNNNNNNNNNNNNNNNNNNNNNNNNNNNNNNNNNNNNNNNNNNNNNNNNNNNNNNAAUAUAUAUAUAUAUAUAUAUAUAUAUAUAUAUAUAUAUUUCAGCUUAAUCUAACAUAGAAAGAUUUUUUUUUUUCUAUGGAUAUUAUCGUAAGUUUUAUAUUGUUGGUUGUUCUUACAUGUUAUUUAAAAAAGAGUUACCAAGGUCUUCUUUUGGUUUGGUGUCGGGCUAUGGCAAUGUUAUCUUGCAGGUUGAUUCAACUAGCCUCAACAUAGAUCACCAGGUCUGAUUAUGGCUUGUCAAAAACUUCUUCUUCGUUAAUGGCAGGUUUCCAUUACAAAGAUUUAUAAAGAAGCAAUUUUUGCAGCAAUCGCCUUUGACUUUUCCUAGCGGAAUUAAUGUGUUAAAUCAACUUUUCCAUGGCAAUAAGAAGAUCGAUAGAAGUUGAUAGUUGUAGUGUGUUUUUUCCCUCGAACUAUUGCAGUGUAGAUUGGGUUUACAGCCCUCCACUUAGAUCAAAAUAAAUAAAAAAAUAACUUGCAACAAAGCUAAUAUUAUUGACUAACUUUCAUCCAUUACAUUAAUGGAAAAAAAAAAAAAAAAAACAUAUCAUUUAUACUAGAUUUAUGAGGUUGGUGAAGAAGUAUGACAUUUUAUAUAUGAUCUAGCUAGUUUCAAAUUUAGGAUUUUGAUAUGUAAAAAGCGAGAAAUAAAUCUAUUGAUCAAGUAAGUUAAUCAUUCUUGUAUAUUUUCCAUUGCAAGAUUUACAACAACGUAAUACAUGUCCUUUUAUUUAGAUUUUAUAUAUCAAUUCGUCAGAUGAAAAAGAAAUUGUUAGAAUCUUGAAGAAAUUACAAACUUUAUUAGUAUUUAACCAAAUGAGCUAAAAUCAGAAUGCAACUUUAUAUGCAAUUUUUAAAUAUGUUCUAUAUAUACUGAAUUAAAUGAAAUCUUUUCAAAGCAAAACAAACUUUUCCUCUAUUUUAAUUAGUCAAACAUCAUACUACAAAAAAAAAAAAAAAAAAAUCAGACAGUUGAAGUUAUUAUAAGUAGUUAGCAAAGUUGACUAAUGAAAUUUUAUCUUAAACAGAAUGGUCUGAAAAAGACAUCAACACGAGUGGGAUUAUAGAAAAAAAAAAAAAAAACCAAUUUGAUAAUUUAUUUAGUUAUUUAAAAAUUUUAGUUUAUUAAUUUGGAAUGGGCAGGUAGGUUGCCUCCCAAGGCAGGGUCGAAUUAUGGUAGUGUUGAUGUCUUAAGGAUCAUGCUUCGCUAAAAGCCAAUCUCUCUCCCUCUUUCUCACCUCUAGCUAUCCAAAUAAAGCCAAAGUGGGUAUUAUUAUUAUUAUUACUGUUAUUUUUAAUUUAUUAUUAUAUAAAAACUAUAUUAUAAAGAGAAGAGAAUUAAAGAAAAAGAUAAAAAUGGUCAAACCGCAUCUAACAAAUAGAAAGGCAUGUGUGAUAUGCCACUAAGGUCCCAACAUACCCACAGUGGGCUUUUGAUUAUUUGAAUUUAGGACAUUUUAUAUAUAUAGUGCAUUGUAUUGUAUCCCUCUUUCUGACACAUUCUAUCAUUCUUUUUAUCAUUUCAUUCAUAUACCCAUCUACCUCUUUUCUUAGGAUAAGUUCCCAUGUUCUUUGUGGCAGGAUAAAAAAGCCUAUAAUAAGAACAUUCUUAGAAUUUUUUUUUUUUUUUUUACCCUUUUCAUUAUCUUUUUCUAUCUCCAUAAUUAAAGAUCAAUGCGCUUUUUUGUUAGCUAAUGGUUUUGAAUUAAUUGAAUGUUAGUUAUAUAUGACUUUCAGAGAAUUAAUUACUAAAUAUGUUAGAAUUAACUGAUUAAGGGACUAUAUAGUAUUUUUUUUUUAUAUAUAAUUAAUGAAUUAUUUAUUACUUUAAAAGACUAAGGGAGGUGAUACAAUAAUGCUAGGGAGGUGCGACUAUAAAUGCAAAUUGCCAAAUAGGUCAAAUGAGAUUUAAACAUAUUACAUAGGUUGAAAUGUGAAAAUAAUUUUUUUUUAAAAAAAAAAAAUUACAUGAUGCGAACAGAGACAAUAAAAUGGUUGGUUGGAUUAGACCUUGGCAGAAGUGCUCACUUUAUAGGGACAGGUGGAGAGGACUUACUCUCAUCUAUUUUUCUUUUGGUUUGAUUUGGACUUUUUAAGAGUUUCUUCCAAUUCCAUUAUUUCUGUCCCUUAUGCAAGGUGAGAUGAAUUUUAAUUUUUCAAAUCCGACAAAAUAAAUUUCGACAAAUCAAUCAUUCUACAUGGCUUUGCCUCUUCUCCGGGAUUUUUUUUUUUAAAGAAUAAAAUAAAAUAAUUGUUCUUAAAUUCUACCACAUCAAAUCACUAUUUUCAGAUUUCGAACUUUUCACCUUAUAAAGUAAAAUUCGCUGAGUUGAUCCAACCACUUAUUGAAAAAAUGAAAAAAAAAAUGCCCAUUUCAACGUCAAUAAUGCAAAAAAAAAAAAAAAAAAAAAAAAAAAUUGCAUGGGAUUUUGGGUUGGGUUGGGCUGAAGUUGAUUUAGUUGGGCCAUAACCUCAAUUGAUUGCAGGAAGAGUUUCCCGAUUAACAAUUAUUAUUAUUAUUAUAAUUUAUAUCAAUCCCUUGAUUUCCUAUAUUUAAAAGAUUUUUAUUUAGUUAGUAUCUACAUACAUAUAUAAAAAUAGCAGAUUCAAAUUUGUUGAAGCUAGAGCUAGCUAGACAGGGUUGA